GGGAUUUGUCGGAUAUUUUCAGUUUAUAACUUCUCUGUGUAACACACUAUCGACAUUGUGACGAGCGACGACGUGUCAUCAGUGACGUAAGCCAGUUACUCGUGUAUAUUGCGACGUAAUAACUUUGAGUUACUUUUUUGAUCAUAAAUUAAUGCCUAAAAAAGUUGUUGAAGGUCAACCGAGAGGUAACGCCGUUGAUGCUACCCACAGACUUGGCUACCUACUCUACUCUUUCUCGAGAUGAGGAGAAGCAGGAAUAAAGUCACUGUAUAUAUUGUAUUGAUUAUCAAUAAAUAAAAAAUUCAAUGUUUAUUCAUCAAGUGGUGUAGCAGCUGUAAUGGGUUUCCUUCGAACUUUAUAAGAGAAUGUUGUAGGAGUAGUAAUGCUGUAUGUGGAUUUUAUAUAAGACAAAAAGUAUCAACACAAUUGUCAAGUUUACUUGGUACCAUAUCAGGACUACUAAAAAACUGCACGGGAAAAAAUGCUGGAGUAGAAUUUACCACACCAAACUAGUAAAAAUUUUACCACACUUUGUGGUCGCCGCAAUGACAACUGUUGUAACAUAAGCCACAGUGUGCGUGAUAUUUUACUACUAUAGGAGUUCUGCUUACUACUGUAAUGUGGUAAAACUUUGUAGUUUCCACAACUACUCAAUGUGGUAUAAAAUACUUGUUUUGUGGUUUUGGGAACCACACAAUUUUAUAUGAAUUGGUAUCUGUUACUAUUUUUGGAGUAUACAAUACCAGAUUACUUGUACAAUCUACUCCAAUGUGUGGUAAAAUAAUCGAAAGAAGAAAAUAACAGCGCCACCUGCAACUUUUUUACUCCAUUCUGUGGGUAUCCUCAACUUGUGUCAUUGUAUUUAUUAUUAUAAAUAAUAUUAUAAAACAUUAUAAAUAAUAAUAUAUAUAAUUUAAAAUAUUUAUAUAUAUAAUUAAAAAUCGAGGCGUGCAAUUAUAAUAUAUAUAAUUUAAAAAAUAUAUAUAUAUAACAAAUAUAAUACAAAAAAAUUUGUUU